rnacentral:piRNA from 1 species
UAUGCAAUUUUAGUUUUGUAACUGCCACGC